rnacentral:rRNA from 1 species
AGAGUUUGAUCCUGGCUCAGGACGAACGCUGGCGGCGUGCCUAAUACAUGCAAGUAGAACGCUGAAGAGAGGAGCUUGCUCUUCUUGGAUGAGUUGCGAACGGGUGAGUAACGCGUAGGUAACCUGCCUUGUAGCGGGGGAUAACUAUUGGAAACGAUAGCUAAUACCGCAUAACAAUGGAUGACACAUGUCAUUUAUUUGAAAGGGGCAAUUGCUCCACUACAAGAUGGACCUGCGUUGUAUUAGCUAGUAGGUGAGGUAACGGCUCACCUAGGCGACGAUACAUAGCCGACCUGAGAGGGUGAUCGGCCACACUGGGACUGAGACACGGCCCAGACUCCUACGGGAGGCAGGAGUAGGGAAUCUUCGGCAAUGGGGGCAACCCUGACCGAGCAACGCCGCGUGAGUGAAGAAGGUUUUCGGAUCGUAAAGCUCUGUUGUAAGUCAAGAACGGGUGUGAGAGUGGAAAGUUCACACUGUGACGGUAGCUUACCAGAAAGGGACGGCUAACUACGUGCCAGCAGCCGCGGUAAUACGUAGGUCCCGAGCGUUGUCCGGAUUUAUUGGGCGUAAAGCGAGCGCAGGCGGUUUGAUAAGUCUGAAGUUAAAGGCUGUGGCUCAACCAUAGUUCGCUUUGGAAACUGUCAAACUUGAGUGCAGAAGGGGAGAGUGGAAUUCCAUGUGUAGCGGUGAAAUGCGUAGAUAUAUGGAGGAACACCGGUGGCGAAAGCGGCUCUCUGGUCUGUAACUGACGCUGAGGCUCGAAAGCGUGGGGAGCGAACAGGAUUAGAUACCCUGGUAGUCCACGCCGUAAACGAUGAGUGCUAGGUGUUGGAUCCUUUCCGGGAUUCAGUGCCGCAGCUAACGCAUUAAGCACUCCGCCUGGGGAGUACGACCGCAAGGUUGAAACUCAAAGGAAUUGACGGGGGCCCGCACAAGCGGUGGAGCAUGUGGUUUAAUUCGAAGCAACGCGAAGAACCUUACCAGGUCUUGACAUCCCGAUGCUAUUUCUAGAGAUAGAAAGUUACUUCGGUACAUCGGUGACAGGUGGUGCAUGGUUGUCGUCAGCUCGUGUCGUGAGAUGUUGGGUUAAGUCCCGCAACGAGCGCAACCCCUAUUGUUAGUUGCCAUCAUUCAGUUGGGCACUCUAGCGAGACUGCCGGUAAUAAACCGGAGGAAGGUGGGGAUGACGUCAAAUCAUCAUGCCCCUUAUGACCUGGGCUACACACGUGCUACAAUGGUUGGUACAACGAGUUGCGAGUCGGUGACGGCAAGCUAAUCUCUUAAAGCCAAUCUCAGUUCGGAUUGUAGGCUGCAACUCGCCUACAUGAAGUCGGAAUCGCUAGUAAUCGCGGAUCAGCACGCCGCGGUGAAUACGUUCCCGGGCCUUGUACACACCGCCCGUCACACCACGAGAGUUUGUAACACCCGAAGUCGGUGAGGUAACCUUUUGGAGCCAGCCGCCUAAGGUGGGAUAGAUGAUUGGGGUGAAGUCGUAACAAGGUAGCCGUAUCGGAAGGUGCGGCUG